ensembl:snRNA U6 U6 spliceosomal RNA
GUGCUUGCUUUAGCAGCACAUCUAUACUAAAAUUGGAAUGAUACAGAGAAGAUUAGCAUGGCUUCUGUUCAAGGAUGACAUGCAAAUUCAAGUGUUCCAUAUUUUU